UACGAAGGGGGCGAGCGUUGUUCGGAAUUACUGGGCGUAAAGGGCGCGUAGGCGGUGUGUCAAGUCAGGCGUGAAAGUCCUGGGCUCAACCUGGGAACUGCGCUUGAUACGGCAGAGCUAGAGGAUGGAAGAGGGUCGCGGAAUUCCCAGUGUAGAGGUGAAAUUCGUAGAUAUUGGGAAGAACACCGGUGGCGAAGGCGGCGACCUGGUCCAUUACUGACGCUGAGGCGCGACAGCGUGGGGAGCAAACAGG
rnacentral:rRNA from 1 species